rnacentral:rRNA from 1 species
GUGCUUGCACCUGAUUGACGAUGGAUCACCAGUGAGUGGCGGACGGGUGAGUAACACGUAGGUAACCUGCCCCGGAGCGGGGGAUAACAUUUGGAAACAGAUGCUAAUACCGCAUAACAACAAAAGCCACAUGGCUUUUGUUUGAAAGAUGGCUUUGGCUAUCACUCUGGGAUGGACCUGCGGUGCAUUAGCUAGUUGGUAAGGUAACGGCUUACCAAGGCGAUGAUGCAUAGCCGAGUUGAGAGACUGAUCGGCCACAAUGGAACUGAGACACGGUCCAUACUCCUACGGGAGGCAGCAGUAGGGAAUCUUCCACAAUGGGCGCAAGCCUGAUGGAGCAACACCGCGUGAGUGAAGAAGGGUUUCGGCUCGUAAAGCUCUGUUGUUGG